UCCUGCCACCGCGCAGGCGCCCACUGCCCCACCCACCCGACUCGCGUCCCUCGGGGCGCUGGGUUGCGCAGGCGCCUUGCCUCUUGGCCGUUCACGAACGUCGCCCGGGUAGCUAGUACGCAUGCGUCAGGUCUCGUGCUGGAACCUGGGCAGGUAAUACAUUUGCAUAUUACAAAAUUCAGAAGGCAGUAUGUCAACCUCAACGCCACUCCUGUAGUUCUCCGGAUGCAACCAAAUGCAAAUCUCCUCCCCAAAAAGAGCUUUUCAGGGCUAUUCGCAUUUGCAGCCCUUCUGAGUAGCCAUCUCGAAAUGUGCGAAAGGAAUAUAUUUUGGGGUGAACUAUUCUGGUUUCCUUCAGUAAGAAGAAAUACCCAUUUUGGUCUUCAUCCCAAUUCCUGGCACGCAGCGCCUAAGUGAGAUGGGGUCUCGCUAUGUUGCCCAGG